rnacentral:lncRNA from 1 species
GUACAAUCUAGGUCGUCUACAAUACAGUUACAUUCAUUACUGGGAUCCUGUCACUAGUAUAUUUUAAAGUCAAAUGUUAAUAUAAAGAGUUGCUUCUAAUAAACUCUAAAAUUGAAAUCUAGAAUUUUGUCUGAUGACAUUUUAUAAAGAAGAAAACUCAAAGCAAAUUGCUGAACUUCUAAAGCACCUCUAUUAAGAGUGGCUGCUCCCUAUUAAAUCCUGCCAAAUUGGGGUGCUCUGGACUUGGCACCCAGUUACAAAAGCAUCAUAGGUCUCAUGAAAUCCCAGAUUCAAUUACAUUCCUUAUAAGCAAUAUAAUGGCGCUAAGUCUUUCCGCUCAGAAAUGGCACAUAAUCCUCCUAGAUACGAUGCCCUCAGCUGCCUACUUGUGGCCUCCCCGUUGUCUAAUGAGCUCUCAGUAGCCAUGGUUUUCUCUUACCAGUCUGCUUUCCCUUCAGUAUCCAGAAAUAAAUGCAGUUGAGCUGUGGAAGAUCCUGAACCACAUGACCUGGCCAGAUGUCUUCCAAACCUUAACCCAAGAUGGCAAAGGGAUAGACCUGCAGAAGCCAAGUGGUAAGACUCCUCCUCCCUCCCCAGCAGUCAGCUCGCAACAGUUUAAGUCAAGAUGGUCAUUGAAGUCCAGGCUUUUGUGAAGAAGUCAGGUUCUGGGGACGCUUCAACUACUGGGUAGGAUAGUUAGCACUCUACUCAUUGUGCUCCUCCAUUUAUGCAAUAUUUACUAAGCACCCACUCUGUGCCAGACAUGUGUGAAGGGACAGGAGAUGAACAUAGC